ACCUGGUUGGCUUAGUCAGAAGAGUAUGAGACUGUUGAUCUCAUGGUCGUGGGUUCAGACCCCAUGUUGGGUA
rnacentral:tRNA from 1 species